rnacentral:rRNA from 1 species
AGUGAACGCUGGCGGUAGGCCUAACACAUGCAAGUCGAACGGCAGCACAGUAAGAGCUUGCUCUUACGGGUGGCGAGUGGCGGACGGGUGAGGAAUACAUCGGAAUCUACUUUUUCGUGGGGGAUAACGUAGGGAAACUUACGCUAAUACCGCAUACGACCUACGGGUGAAAGCAGGGGAUCUUCGGACCUUGCGCGAAUGAAUGAGCCGAUGUCGGAUUAGCUAGUUGGCGGGGUAAAGGCCCACCAAGGCGACGAUCCGUAGCUGGUCUGAGAGGAUGGUCAGCCACACUGGAACUGAGACACGGUCCAGACUCCUACGGGAGGCAGCAGUGGGGAAUAUUGGACAAUGGGCGCAAGCCUGAUCCAGCCAUACCGCGUGGGUGAAGAAGGCCUUCGGGUUGUAAAGCCCUUUUGUUGGGAAAGAAAAGCAGCAGGUUAAUACCCCGCUGUUCUGACGGUACCCAAAGAAUAAGCACCGGCUAACUUCGUG